rnacentral:rRNA from 1 species
UACGGAGGAUGCGAGCAUUAUCCGGAUUUAUUGGGUUUAAAGGGUGCGUAGGCGGGCUUUUAAGUCAGCGGUAAAAAUUCGGGGCUCAACCCCGUCCGGCCGUUGAAACUGGGGGUCUUGAGUGGGCGAGAAGAAGGCGGAAUGCGUGGUGUAGCGGUGAAAUGCAUAGAUAUCACGCAGAACCCCGAUUGCGAAGGCAGCCUUCCGGCGCCCUACUGACGCUGAGGCACGAAAGUGCGGGGAUCGAACAGG